ACGAACGCUGGCGGCGUGCUUAACACAUGCAAGUCGAACGGAAAGGCCCUGCUUUUGUGGGGUGCUCGUGUGGCGAACGGGUGAGUAACACGUGAGUAACCUGCCCUUGACUUUGGGAUAACUUCAGGAAACUGGGGCUAAUACCGGAUAGGAGCUCCUGCUGCAUGGUGGGGGUUGGAAAGUUUCGGCGGUUGGGGAUGGACUCGCGGCUUAUCAGCUUGUUGGUGGGGUAGUGGCUUACCAAGGCUUUGACGGGUAGCCGGCCUGAGAGGGUGACCGGCCACAUUGGGACUGAGAUACGGCCCAGACUCCUACGGGAGGCAGCAGUGGGGAAUAUUGCACAAUGGGCGGAAGCCUGAUGCAGAAACGCCGCGUGCGGGAUGACGGCCUUCGGGUUGUAAACCGCUUUCGCCUGUGACGAAGCGUGAGUGACGGUAAUGGGUAAAGAAGCACCGGCUAACUACGUG
rnacentral:rRNA from 1 species